rnacentral:rRNA from 1 species
UACGAAGGGGGCGAGCGUUGUUCGGAUUUACUGGGCGUAAAGGGCGCGUAGGCGGCGCGAGAAGUCGAGUGUGAAAGCCCCGGGCUCAACCUGGGAAUUGCGCUCGAUACUCUUGUGCUUGAGUUCGGGAGAGGAGCGUGGAAUUCCCAGUGUAGAGGUGAAAUUCGUAGAUAUUGGGAAGAACACCGGUGGCGAAGGCGGCCUUCUGGACGAGUCGACGUGACGCUGAGACGCGAAAGCGUGGGGAGCAAACAGGAUU